AGUGAACGCUGGCGGUAUGCCUAACACAUGCAAGUCGAACGGCAGCACAGGAGAGCUUACUCUCUGGGUGGCGAGUGGCGGACGGGUGAGGAAUACAUCGGAAUCUACUUUUUCGUGAGGGAUAACGUAGGGAAACUUACGCUAAUACCGCAUACGACAUACGGGUGAAAGCAGGGGAUCUUCGGACCUUGUGCGAGUGAAUGAGCCGAUGUCGGAUUAGCUAGGUGGCGGGGUAAAGGCCCACCAAGGCGACGAUCCGUAGCUGGUCUGAGAGGAUGAUCAGCCACACUGGAACUGAGACACGGUCCAGACUCCUACGGGAGGCAGCAGUGGGGAAUAUUGGACAAUGGGCGCAAGCCUGAUCCAGCCAUACCGCGUGGGUGAAGAAGGCCUUCGGGUUGUAAAGCCCUUUUGUUGGGAAAGAAAUCCAGCUGGUUAAUACCCGGUUGGGAUGACGGUACCCAAAGAAUAAGCACCGGCUAACUUCGUGCCAGCCGCCGCCGUAA
rnacentral:rRNA from 1 species